UCCAACACAGCUGUAUGCACCAUUAUUUAGUCCCUAUUUCUUAUUUGAAUUUACAGUUUGACGUGUUUCGCAGUUAUUUUAUUUGGCUUUCGCUCUAUCGUUAUGAAGUUUAAAAAGUAAAUUCGCAAGUCUAAAAUGGUUUACUAUAUACGUACGUCGCGCACUUAUUCGUUUUUUGGUGAGCCAUCACGGAAAUCCCAUUCGUCGGAUAGCAUUUAUUCGAAUGACGUGUUUACGGGCUUAGGGGUGAAUUUUCC